ACAUGGAGGGCAUCUGGCUUCCUAGUGACUAUGGCAAGGUUGGGCAAGGUUGGGGGCUCAGCACCUGUUGCUGAGUCAGAGACAUACAUCUUGCUGGGUCUUUUCUGCAGCCUGUUAUGGCUGCCAACGCAAGGGAGUGGGUGAGGGUCUGGGGCCUUCAAUCACAUUGGAGUCAUGGACUGGAUUGGGAAGGAGCCCUCAAGUGAAGUACCAGCUGGUAGAGAGUGAAUGCCUCUGAGUAGGUCAUUGUUCCUGUUUGCUUUCUGUUAUUCUGAUACAACACUCUGUCGUAAAGUAGCUUGAGGGAAGAAAGGAUUUCUUAGGUUUACACUUCCAGAUCACAGUCCAUCAAUGAGAGGAGCCAGUGUGUAAACUCAAGGCAGGAACUAUGGAAGAGUAUUGCUUACUGGCUUUCUCUUUGACUUAUGCUCAGCUAGCUAUAGCCCAGGACCUGCCUUGGAGUGAAACUGCCUAUAGUGGGCUGAGCCCUCCUCCCGACAUGAAUCAAGACUGUCUCUUCUAGACAUAGCCACAGGCAAAUCUGGAUAAGGAAAUUCAUCAAUUCCCAGGUGAUUCCAGGUUGUGUCAAGUUGACAGUAAAACUUAACUAGGACAGGUACUGAGAUGUGGAUGACUAGUACAAGAAACAGAAAACAAACAACAAAUUGGGUGACAUGGAUCCCAGGUGGAAUUGCACAUUAACUGGUUGUCUUCUUCAUGCCUUCCCUUUUCCUUGGGCUUUCUGAGCCUCACAGAAACUCAGUGGAUCACAGACUAUCUAGCACUUAGGAUGGCACUCAUCUGUGGCCAACUCUGUCCUUCCCAUCUCUUCUCUCUUCCCUAAAGAGAUGUCCAUAUCCUGUGAUUGAUCUCUGUAGGCCCUGGUUCUCUUAGUCUGAUAAGUGAGGCUGAGCUGCUGUGACCCUAUGGUGGUCCGCAGCCACGAUGCCUAAAAUAAGAACUAUGUAAAGGGUUUAGAAUUUUCUAGUAGCCAUAUGAAAAUUGAAAGAAGCCUGUAAAAUAAACUUUUAAAAUACAUGUAGGUCGGUGAAUAGAGUGCAUGUGAUUUCAGCAUACCACAAUGGUACCUCUCAGUGGCUCCUUGGUAUCCAGUGUUAGUGGUCGUAACAGUUCUAGACUUGAUGUUUGUGUAGCGCUGGGACCUGAACUCUGGUGACUCAAAGGCUAGCAUAUCAGUCAUCUAUUAGAAUGCUCUAGGCAAGCUGGUAAACCAAACGUUCUGAGGCAAAUGAGUCCUUACUGGGCCCUUCAUCUUGUCUGCUUACCCAGAUAUCUACUUUGCAUAUUUGCAUAUCCAUGGAGAUGGUUCUUAACAGCCUGAAAUAUCACUCUUCGGAAUUCUUAGGAAGAGCUAGAAUGUGGGGAAGUCACAUAAUAGGUUUAUUCUUGUGCGCUGUUUGAGUUCAAUCCCAAAAAGACUAGUGUCACAGUGGGUAUACCAUGUCUUGCUUUCCUCCCCCGUUUGUCUCUUUGAAGUCCUUCCCCCUUUUAGUGUUUGCUUUUCUCCUGUGCUGAUAGACAGCUGAGUCUUGAAAACCUUGCGUCUGUCCUCCCUAUGAGGAACACAGUCCUUCAAUGAAAUUAGAUAGAAGAGCAAAUGAAAUGUGCUAUAAAUCAUAUAAUUAUGACUCACACAAUUUCCCCACAUUAAACUCCCUAUAAGAAAUUACCCACCCUGCCACCCAACCCUCCACACUAAAUGUAGAAAAAAAUUUUAAAGCAGUUGUGACCUUGACCAACAUUUCAGGUCUAAAACCUGAAAGAAGAAAUUCUUAGAAAGACAAAGACAUUCCAUGAGCCCCACCAUGCCUGUAGCUGCAAGAGAGUCUGGGGAAAUGCACCAUUUGUUUUUUCAUCCUUAAGGUGAAAACUGCAAGAGAAUGUUAAGUUGGUGAACCAGUGAUGACAGUUAGGUGUGAUACUUAACCACAACAUGUAUGUUAGCUUACCAUAUAUGGAGGGCUUGUAGGAUCUGUACAUGCCAAACAUUUUAUAGAUAACAUUUCAUUUGAUUGUCACAGCUGCUUUUUGGUGCAUGUCCUUCCAGCCCCUGCUCUCCUUAUAACGGCUCUAAAGAGGUCAGUAUUUACCAAAAUCACAGAGAAAUUCCUUUGUGGUUGUGCUCACCUCCACCAUCACUGUCACUAAGUAGCUACCUCUAUUUCCAUACAGCUCAUCUUCCACGUACCUUAGGUGAAUUUGGAAGUGCUUGAUUGAUAUUCUUCCCCAUGGAUGCAGAAUGAGGGAGAGGUAAGAUUUCUGGCUCAAGAAAUUAGGACAGCAUGAUGUAUUUUCUGAGAGAAGAAGAUUUUUUAUUUUGGUAGGUGGUACCUGUCAGUCACCUCAGUAGCUGAUAAAAGGUAGUAGGUGUCUGGAGUGCAGAGAAAUUUCAUAGAAUUAACUCAUCCCUAAAAGAUUGAUGAUCACAACCAAACCAGUAUCACCUGCCUAGACUCCUUUUCUUGCAAAAUAAUAAACUAAGUGGUUUUUCCAGCAAGGCAGAAAAAAAAAUGGAGAAAUGACUGAUGAAUUCGAGUGACGUCUUUCCUACUGGCAGCCUCUGAGAUGAGACCCAACGAUGCCCACUUCCUAAUGCCAUGAGUAGUUACGAUCUAGAGAUUUGCUUCUAAUGAACACAAGCAAAGGCAAUGAGAGGAAAUCCAUAGCCAAAUCAUAGGCAGUUACAACCUCUACCUUAUUAGAAGACAUCCUUUGUUUUCUUGGCUAUUGUGCCCUGGGGAAGGAAAUACCCAUGUUGCAUAUUCCCUCAAGAAGGUGAUUAUUGGGUUCUUACUGCCAUUAACCCCACAGUCAACCGAAGUGGCAGUGUAACAAUAAGGAACAGAAUUCUGCUAAGUGUGUGAGCAUGGAGAGGAAUCCUUCCCCAGGCAAGUGUUCAGACAGACCCCCAGUUCUGGUAGGCAACUUGAGCUCAGUCUGUAAUAGAUCCUCAAGAACAGCAGGACCCUGACCUGCAGUUGGAACUUUUUCUCUCUCACUCGUUGUCACUGGACCAGUUUCUCUCCUGCCUACUGGGUCCCUGCACCCACGUAUGAAAUAAUCUCUCAGAGACUAAUACAUUAAAUAUAGUUGUUUUCCCAGUGGCUCAGGCUUCUUACUGGCUAGCUGUACCUAUAAAUUAACCGAUUUCUAACAUUCUAUUUCACCAUAUAAAGGCUCAUGGCUUGUCACCUCACAUCUUACUUCACUGGAAGCUACAUGUCAUUUCCUUGACCCCGCCUUCCUCCUCUCUGCAUCUUUGUUUGGAUUUCCUGUCUAGCUAUAUUUUUCCUGGCCAUUGGCUGAACAUCUUUAUUCAUCAACUAAUACAAGCAACACAUGUUCUCAGCAUACAGAAGGACAUCCCACAUCACUGACCUGCAAAUAUCGGAAGGAUAAAUGUGGACUGUUCAUCUGCUAGGUUUAUGGAGAUUAAUUAAAUGGCAAUAGAUAACAAACCCAACGAAUUAAAAUAGGACAUGGGGCCUUGUGGCAGUGAGCUAGCCAUCGGGCUGCUUAGUCCAAGAGCCAGGAGACUAUCUUCAAAGAGAUGCCCUAUUUGUCCAUUUAGAACCAGCUCUGAGAAUGAUUGCAUUUGGCUCACUAGAAUGAGAAGAACCUGAGCAGGAGGCAGCCAUAUUUGGAGCAGACCCUGAGCAGCAGCAGCUGAUCCAUGAGCCAGGCCAGGUGCACUGUGGGAGCAGUGGCAAAACCCUGGGAGCCUAACAGAACCACACAGCAAAGGCUUUUGACAGUGUUGAGACAGCCAGGCGAUUUCUUCUCCCUUCCAGGAACAGUCUCCUCUCUUACUGCUGCGAUAUACCCAACAAAAUUAACUGAAGGACAGAAAAGUUCAUUUUGGUUCGCCGUUUGAAGGAAGAGGAGAAAGUCCAUCCUGUGGUGAAGGCCGCGCAGCAGACAUGACAAUUGGAGGUCCCACUGAGAUCAUGAAAGCGAGG